CGGAUGCUAACGCAAUGUGAUUUCUGCCCA
rnacentral:ncRNA from 2 species